rnacentral:rRNA from 1 species
UACGUAGGGUGCAAGCGUUGUCCGGAAUUAUUGGGCGUAAAGAGCUCGUAGGCGGUCUGUUACGUCGGCUGUGAAAACCUGGGGCUCAACUCCGGGCCUGCAGCCGAUACGGGCAGACUAGAGUUCGGCAGGGGAGACUGGAAUUCCUGGUGUAGCGGUGAAAAUGCGUAGAUAUCGGGGAGGAACACCAGUGGCGAAGGCGGCUACCCUGGCACAUA